rfam:Beta vulgaris subsp. vulgaris Bvchr2.sca007.con0098.1, whole genome shotgun sequence.
GCGAUUUCGGCUUAAAACCGCAACAAUAUGAUAUCAACAGAAAAAUUUUGGAAAAAAAUUGAAUUAUUUGACCAGAUAUAUUGCUGCGGGUUUUGCCACACUGGGACUGAGACACGGCCCAGACUCCUACGGGAGGCAGCAGUGGGGAAUUUUCCGCAAUGGGCGAAAGCCUGACGGAGCAAUGCCGCGUGGAGGUCGAAGGCCCACGGGUCGUUAACUUCUUUUCCCGGAGAAGAACCGCAACAAUAUAUUAAAAUAAUAUUAAAAAAAUAAUAUUUUAAUAUAUUGUUGCGAUUUUUGCCAGAAACCGCAGCAAUAUCAUUAAAAAAAUA